rnacentral:rRNA from 1 species
UACGUAGGGUGCAAGCGUUGUCCGGAAUUAUUGGGCGUAAAGAGCUCGUAGGCGGUCUUCCGCGUCGGCUGUGAAAACCCGGAGCUCAACUCCGGGCCUGCAGUCGAUACGGGCAAACUGGAGUGUUGCAGGGGAGACUGGAAUUCCUGGUGUAGCGGUGAAAUGCGCAGAUAUCAGGAGGAACACCGGUGGCGAAGGCGGGUCUCUGGGCAACAACUGACGCUGAGGAGCGAAAGCGUGGGGAGCGAACAGG